GAUGAACGCUGGCGGCGUGCCUAAUACAUGCAAGUCGAGCGAACGGACGAGAAGCUUGCUUCUCUGAUGUUAGCGGCGGACGGGUGAGUAACACGUGGAUAACCUACCUAUAAGACUGGGAUAACUUCGGGAAACCGGAGCUAAUACCGGAUAUUAUUUUGAACCGCAUGGUUCAAAAGUGAAAGACGGUCUUGCUGUCACUUAUAGAUGGAUCCGCGCUGCAUUAGCUAGUUGGUAAGGUAACGGCUUACCAAGGCAACGAUGCAUAGCCGACCUGAGAGGGUGAUCGGCCACACUGGAACUGAGACACGGUCCAGACUCCUACGGGAGGCAGCAGUAGGGAAUCUUCCGCAAAGGGCGAAAGCCUGACGGAGCAACGCCGCGUGAGUGAUGAAGGUCUUCGGAUCGUAAAACUCUGUUAUUAGGGAAGAACAUAUGUGUAAGUAACUGUGCACAUCUUGACGGUACCUAAUCAGAAAGCCACGGCUAACUACGUG
rnacentral:rRNA from 1 species